rnacentral:rRNA from 1 species
UACAGAGGUGGCAAGCGUUGCUCGGUAUCACUGGGCUUAAAGGGCGCGUAGGCGGUGCGGUACGGUUUCGGUGAAAUCCCUCGGCCCAACCGAGGAACAGCCGGAGCUACGGCCGGACUAGACGGCAUCAGGGGACAGUGGAACUCCCGGUGGAGCGGUGAAAUGCGUAGAUAUCGGGAGGAACACCUAUAGCGAAGGCAGCUUGGUGGGACGUUACUGACGCUAAGGCGCGAAAGCGUGGGGAGCGAACAGG